GUACACUCCUGCGGGAGGCAGCAGUGGGGAAUUUUGGACAAUGGGCGAAAGCCUGAUCCAGCAAUGCCGCGUGUGUGAAGAAGGCCUUCGGGUUGUAAAGCACUUUUGUCCGGAAAGAAAUCCUUGGCUCUAAUACAGUCGGGGGAUGACGGUACCGGAAGAAUAAGCACCGGCUAACUACGUGCCAGCAGCCGCGGUAAUACGUAGGGUGCGAGCGUUAAUCGGAAUUACUGGGCGUAAAGCGUGCGCAGGCGGUUUGCUAAGACCGAUGUGAAAUCCCCGGGCUCAACCUGGGAACUGCAUUGGUGACUGGCAGGCUAGAGUAUGGCAGAGGGGGGUAGAAUUCCACGUGUAGCAGUGAAAUGCGUAGAGAUGUGGAGGAAUACCGAUGGCGAAGGCAGCCCCCUGGGCCAAUACUGACGCUCAUGCACGAAAGCGUGGGGAGCAAACAGGAUUAGAAACCCCGGUAGUCCCAU
rnacentral:rRNA from 1 species